rnacentral:rRNA from 1 species
UGGGGAAUUUUGGACAAUGGGGGCAACCCUGAUCCAGCAAUGCCGCGUGUGUGAAGAAGGCCUUCGGGUUGUAAAGCACUUUUGUCCGGAAAGAAAACGCCGUGGUUAAUACCCGUGGCGGAUGACGGUACCGGAAGAAUAAGCACCGGCUAACUACGUGCCAGCAGCCGCGGUAAUACGUAGGGUGCAAGCGUUAAUCGGAAUUACUGGGCGUAAAGCGUGCGCAGGCGGUCCGCUAAGACAGAUGUGAAAUCCCCGGGCUUAACCUGGGAACUGCAUUUGUGACUGGCGGGCUAGAGUAUGGCAGAGGGGGGUAGAAUUCCACGUGUAGCAGUGAAAUGCGUAGAGAUGUGGAGGAAUACCGAUGGCGAAGGCAGCCCCCUGGGCCAAUACUGACGCUCGAUGCACGAAAGCGUGGGGAGCAAACGGAAUUNGAUACCCU